rnacentral:lncRNA from 1 species
CGCGCGUCAGGCGCGGAGGGCCCCGGCGUCGGGGGCUUGGCUGGGCGGUGCUUCCCGCUAGGCCCAAGCGCGCGCGAGGGCCGGGCUCGAGCACGUCGCCUCAGGGCGGGGCGGGGCGUGCUGACGCACCAACGGUUUUCUGCUCCCCCAGGGCGGCGCCCCGCCCCGCUCCGCUCCGCUCCGCUCCGUUCCGCUCCGUUCCGCUCCUUUCCGCCGGCGUUUCGUGGUGCCGCGGCUGCUCCUCACUGGUGUGUCGUCAGUGGGUGCCAGCACGUCUCGCUUUCUAUGCUUUCUUGGAUAAUUCUUAGAGUCAGUGUAACAGUUUUCCUUGAUAGCAACUGGAUCAUGCAACUACUCCCUACUGAGCAAGUUCACUUCUGCAGCUAGCCUGAAAAGAAAACAUUCUCAGCAUUCCAAAUGCUCAACUGCUAAAAACUUUCCAAGGAUUCUCUGGGUUUAGGCACUUCGUUGAAAUACAGCAGGAUGAGAAAUUUUCUGGAUAAUACUGGUCACAGGAAGAUUAUUCUUCCACAGCAUUUUCAUGCAUUAUCAGCACUUUAAUCAGUCUGUA